rnacentral:tRNA from 1 species
UAGCCAGUUGGUUAGCGCGUCUCCCUGUCACGGAGAAGGUCGGGGGUUCGAAUCCCCC